rnacentral:rRNA from 1 species
UCUACGGGUGGCAGCAGUGGGGGAUAUUGCACAAUGGGGGAAACCCUGAUGCAGCGACACCGCGUGGGUGAAGAAGCGCCUCGGCGCGUAAAGCCCUGUCAGUAGGGAAGAAAAUGACGGUACCUGAAGAAGAAGCCCCGGCUAACUACGUGCCAGCAGCCGCGGUAAUACGUAGGGGGCAAGCGUUAGCCGGAUUGACUGGGUGUAAAGGGGGCGCAGACGGCGAUGCAAGCCAGGAGUGAAAGCCCGGGGCUCAACCCCGGGACGGCUCUUGGAACUGCGUGGCUAGAGUGCAGGAGGGGAAGGCGGAAUUCCUGGUGUAGCGGUGAAAUGCGCAGAUAUAAGGAGGAACACCGGUGGCGAAGGCGGCCUGCUGGACUGCAAUUGACGUUGAGGCCCGAAAGCGUGGGGAGCAAACAGGAUUAGAUACUCCAGUAGUC